UCGAACGAGAAAGGGGAGCAAUCCCUGAGUAAAGUGGCGUACGGGUGAGUAACACGUGGGUAAUCUGCCUCUGGGUGGGGAAUAACUCUGGGAAACCGGAGCUAAUACCGCAUAAGCCUGCAAGGGGAAAGGUGCAAAUCGCCGAGAGAGGAGCCCGCGGCUGAUUAGCUUGUUGGUGGGGUAAAGGCUCACCAAGGCUGAGAUCGGUAGCCGGCCUGAGAGGGCACACGGCCACACUGGCACUGAAACACGGGCCAGACUCCUACGGGAGGCAGCAGUGGGGAAUCUUGCACAAUGGGGGAAACCCUGAUGCAGCGACGCCGCGUGAGCGAUGAAGCCCUUCGGGGUGUAAAGCUCUUUCGGCAGGGACGAUAAUGACGGUACCUGCAGAAGAAGCUGCGGCUAACUACGUGCCAGCAGCCGCGGUAAUACGUAGGCAGCGAGCGUUG
rnacentral:rRNA from 1 species